UAUUAUCUGUUCUUUCAACUGAGUAACAUGCUUUUCAAAAGUGUUUUUCUAUGUUUCAGAGACAGAAAAGGGGAGACAAAGAAGAAGAAAAAGGAGGGGAAAAGGUAAAAGAAAGGAAGAGAAUGAAUUGCAGCUGAGGAAGUGGAAGAGCGAGAAGCGCUUCCAGAUUCCAGGGACUUAUACCAUCAGAGUUCCUGGUUCUCAGGCCUUCGGACUCAAACCAGAGUUUACAACACUGGCUUUCCUGGGUCUCUCCUUCUCAGCUUCUCCAAGUUUCUCAAACUAAAGCCCGACUUGGGAUAGGUGAUACCAGGAAACAUGAGGAAGGCAAUGAGGAGAGUGACGCAGUAGAGGAGCCCAGCCAGGGAAGGAGACGGGAGCAAGAUUCCGAUCUGAGGGAAGAGGCACCGCAUGUCCACACCCUCAGAAGACUGGCUGGUCUUCAUUCUGUGGUAUAACUAGAAGCGGGGAAUUGAGUGGGGAGCUGGAAAUUACGCAUCUUGGAGGAAGGGCCAGUCAAAUUAGUUGGCCACGGACUCAUUGCUCAUGUAGAUUCUGGGGACGCAGUGUGGCAUAGUGGUUGAGAUGCAGGCUGUAGAGUUAGACAGACAUGGUUCAGACCGAGGUAGGUUUGAGAUCUGUUUCACCAGUGUACCUUAUUUGGGAGCUUUGGGCUGUAAUCAAUAGAAAACCUAACCCAGAUGAGCUUAAACAAUAAGGAAAUGUAUUGACAGCUGGAAAUUCAAGUUCGGGUAACCUUCAGGGUCAGCUUCAUCCAGUGGCCCUUUUUUUUUGCCAUAUUUUCCUCCCUCAAAAAGUACAUGUACUUUUCUGUGUCUGCUUUGUUCCCAGGCUGGCUCCUCCCUUGGUGAUUGUGCAUGCAUGCCACCUUCCCAACAUCAGCCUUUUUCCUCUUCUGGGAGAUCCCAGAUUUUUUUUUUUCUUAUUGUAAAGACAA